AUUGAACGCUGGCGGAAUGCUUUCCACAUGCAAGUCGAACGGCAGCACGGGUGCUUGCACCUGGUGGCGAGUGGCGAACGGGUGAGUAAUACAUCGGAACGUACCCAGUCGUGGGGGAUAACGUAGCGAAAGUUACGCUAAUACCGCAUACGUCCUGAGGGAGAAAGCGGGGGACCGUAAGGCCUCGCGCGUUGGGAGCGGCCGAUGUGGGGUUGGCUAGUCGGGGGGGUAAAGGCCUACCAAGGCGACGAUCCGUAGCGGGGCGGGGAGGACGGACCGCCCAACUGGAACUGAGAAACGGUCCAGACUCCUACGGGAGUCAGCAGUGGGGAAUUUUGGACAAUGGGCGAAAGCCUGAUCCGGCCAUUCCGCGUGAGUGAAGAAGGCCUUCGGGUUGUAAAGCUCUUUCGGCAGGGAAGAAACGGCUUGGGGUAAUACCCCGGGCUAAUGACGGUACCUGAAGAAGAAGCACCGGCUAACUACGUGCCAGCCGCCGCAGUAA
rnacentral:rRNA from 1 species